AGUACACUUUAAAAGCUUUAACGAGUAUCCAUUGGAGGGCAAGUCUGGUGCCAGCAGCCGCGGUAAUUCCAGCUCCAAAAGUAUAUAUUUAAGUUGUUGCGGUUAAAAAGCUCGUAGUUGGAUUUUGGGCGCAGGCGGCCGGUCCGUCGCAAGGCGUGUACUGGACGUCCUGGCCUUCCCUCCGGUUCUCCGCCGGUGCUCUUGACUGAGUGUCGGCGGCGGCCGGAACGUUUACUUUGAAAAAAUUAGAGUGUUCAAAGCAGGCUCUCAAGCCUGGAUAAUGGUGCAUGGAAUAAUGGAAUAGCACCUCGGUUCUAUUUUGUUGGUUUUCGGAGCGCGAGGUAAUGAUUAAGAGGGACAGACGGGGGCAUUCGUACUGUGCCGUUAGAGGUGAAAUUCUUGGAUCGGCGCAAGACGAGCGACUGCGAAAGCAUUUGCCAAGAAUGUUUUCUUUAAUCAAGAGCGAAAGUCAGAGGUUCGAAGACGAUCAGAUACCGUCCUAGUUCUGACUAUAAACGAUGCCAACUAGCGAUCGGGGGGCGUUACAUUGACGACCCCUCCGGCAGCUUACGGGAAACCAAAGUCUUUGGGUUCCGGGGGAAGUAUGGUUGCAAAGCUGAAACUUAAAGGAAUUGACGGAAGGGCACCACCAGGAGUGGAGCCUGCGGCUUAAUUUGACUCAACACGGGAAAUCUCACCCGGCCCGGACACAGUGAGGAUUGACAGAUUGAGAGCUCUUUCUUGAUUCUGUGGGUGGUGGUGCAUGGCCGUUCUUAGUUGGUGGAGCGAUUUGUCUGGUUAAUUCCGAUAACGAACGAGACUCUGGCUUGCUAAAUAGUUACGCGACCAUCCCGGUCGGCG
rnacentral:ncRNA from 1 species